rnacentral:rRNA from 1 species
AACGAACGCUGGCGGCAUGCCUAACACAUGCAAGUCGAACGAGACCUUCGGGUCUAGUGGCGCACGGGUGCGUAACGCGUGGGAACCUGCCCUUAGGUUCGGAAUAACUCCCCGAAAGGGGUGCUAAUACCGGAUAAUGUCUUCGGACCAAAGAUUUAUCGCCUUUGGAUGGGCCCGCGUUGGAUUAGCUAGUUGGUAGGGUAAAAGCCUACCAAGGCGACGAUCCAUAGCUGGUCUGAGAGGAUGAUCAGCCACACUGGGACUGGGACACGGCCCAGACUCCAACGGGAGGCAGCAGUGGGGAAAAUUGGACAAUGGGCGAAAGCCUGAUCCAGCAAGGCCGGGUGGAUGAUGAAGGCCUUAGGGUUGUAAGCUCUUUUACCCGGGAUGAUAAUGACAGUACCGGGAGAAUAAGCUCCGGCUAACUCCGUG